CCUAUACCAUUCCCGUAUUCAUAGUCCAGGUUAUUCUAAAACAUUAAUCAAUUGUUGUGUUAAUACGUUACAGGGCAUGAGUUUUGCUCUGGUAUCCUGCAAUUUGCAUUCAAUUCAAUUUAACCAAAACCUUGGGAGGGUUUCAAUUUUGCCAGCUAACAGUUUCACCUGUGCUUCAAUAAGAAUUAAAUGCCAGGUUCUCAGAUGUUCAUAGUGAAGCCAUCUGUUAAAUUGCAGUUUUUUUGAAGAACAAAGGUAGUCCACUAACUCAAAUUUGAUUUCCUUUCUAUAGAUCGCUGCUUACAAGUUUAGCAAACUUUUGGUCCUUUUGCAUGUAGAUAGAUUUUCCAUAUUGUAACUUGGUAAUUUUGCUAUCUCUAGUCCAAUUGCAUAGAUUGUCUGAAAAUAAUGAAUUACUCUAUGAUCAUUAUACUAUUUUAAACGGUGGGGAGGACUAUGGCAUGUCUCAGCCUUUUUUAUAAUCAAAUGAGAAAAUUUAAAAUUUGGGAGAAAUGGCUUAAUGGAAUUUUAAAAAAUUAGGGACGACACUAGAGUGCCAGAGACCCGGGUUUGCUCCAGACUAUGGGUGCUUGGCUGUACAGAGUUUUAUGUUCUUCCUGUGACCUGCGUGGGUUUUCUCCGGGUGCUCCCGUUUCCUCUUACACUCCAAAGAUGUACAGGUUUGUAGGUUAAUUAUCACUAGUGUGUAGGAUAGUGUUAGUGUGUGGGGAUCACUGCACUGGUCAGCUGGACUCAGUGGGCCAAUGGGCCCGUUUCCACACUGUACCUCUAAACUAAACUAAUGAAUGAAUUUUAUUUCCAAGAUCAUUGCGUCUUCAACAUUGCCACUGCACAAAUUGAUGCUUUUAGAGAACUUUGAUUAAGUCCUGCUUCAAUGUAAUGUUGAUGUUUUGCAUUGUUCACUUAAUUGUUACAAAUAUGCAGAAUGUUCUUUUUUUUUUACAAAAGCUAUUGGAUUCGGAUAUGAUGCAGUCAUCAACACCUUGUGCUCAAAUUCCAGGGGAAAUUUCCUGAGAAAUGAAGAACGAAUUAGACUCAUCUAGUUAGCGCUGGUGGCAUUAUCAGUGGAGCUGAUGCAAAGGAUUAACAAUCUGAUGUGAACUACACCACUUAUUUGGCAAAAACUUCCUGGCUUGAUUGUGGACCCCUUGUUACAGAAGGAUAUAGGGGUGCAAGUCCGUAGCUCCCUGGCGGCCUCCAACUGGGACCGACCUCGAGGCUCCAGAGGCAGAGACAGCCAGGACUUACCAACGCGAGGCUGGCCGACUUCGGGGCUGUUGCGGCGGCGGCGACCAGAUUUCGGGGCUUUGGCGACGGCGACACGACUUCGGAGCCUCGGAGGCAUGGCCGCGGGCUCAGUGAACGAUAACGUCGGGAGCUCGCAGGUCACAGGUUGGACUGGAGGGUGGCAGCUUUGGCGUCUUCGACCACCCCAGGCCGCGGAGAUUGUACCGGCCCGUUUGCGGAGCUCGGAUUCAGCCGUGGGACUUGCCAUCACCAGGUGGGGUCACAACAUCGGAAGUUUGGAUCGCCUCAAUGCAGAGGGAGAACAAGGAGGGAAGAGACAUGGACUUUAAAACUUUUGCCUUCCAUCACAGUGAGGAGGGUUUGGUGGACUCACUGGUGGAUGUUAAAUCUGUGUUUAUUGUGUGUUUUGUUAGUUUAUUCUAUGUUAUGACUCCAAGGCACGAAAUUUUGUUCAUACUGAAAAGUCUGAAUGACAAUAAAGAUACUUGACUUGAUAUAGGGGUGCAAGUCCAUAGCUCCCUUAAAGUAGUGACACAAAUAGAUUGUGGUAAAGAACGCUUAUGGAACGCAUGCCUUCAUCAGUCAGGGCAUUGAAUGGAAACAUUCAAUCAAUGCUUCCUCACUUGCCUGACCUCCACCAAGGAUCAAAGCCUGCUCGCCUCCAGACCGGUCUCUUCGCUGACUAUCCUCGACAGUCACACUCGUGACCGACCUCAGGCCGGAUGCUUCACUGCAGGAUCACACAUGAGGUCAAAACCUGCAACGCCUUCACUGCUAGAAGAUGUAGCGACCAUGCUCACUGUGCCUCCGACCACUUACAGGUGAGGGGUGCACUGAAGCUGCUAUUGCUUGACCCCUCCACAUCCCUGAUCGCUCACAGCACAGGCCUACAGACUACAAAAUUCACCGCAUUCCUGGCCGGGCCAAACGAACCGCCACCACCGGCCCUCACAGCCUCCCCAACCUCUCCCAGACUGGGACUAACAACACCAACCAGGGCAUCCCCACCUGCUCCCAGGUUUGAGCCUACCAACACCGACCUUCACUACAUCCCCAAUUAUUCCCUGGUUGGACCUACUGACUACUUUCGCAACAUUCGGCUUGUACUCGCUAGAAUUUAGAAGAUUGAGGGGGGACCUUAUAGAAACGUACAAAAUUCUUAAGGGGUUGGACAGGCUAGAUGCAGGAAGAUUGUUCCCGAUGUUGGGGAAGUCCAGAACAAGGGGUCACAGUUUAAGGAUAAGGGGGAAAUCUUUUAGGACCGAGAUGAGAAAAACAUUUUACACACAGUGGUGAAUCUCUGGAAUUCUCUGUCACAGAAGGUUGUUGAGGCCAGUUCAUUGGCUAUAUUUAAGAGGGAGUUAGAUGUGGCCCUUGUGGCUAAUGGGAUCAGGGGGUAUGGAGAGAAGGCAGGUACAGGAUACUGAGUUGGAUGAUCAGCCAUGAUCAUAUUGAAUGGCGGUGCAGGCUCGAAGGGCCGAAUGGCCUACUCCUACACCUAUUUUCUAUGUUUCUAUUCCCGCACUCCCCCAGGCCAGGCCUACCAACGCCGACCUUCACUACAUCCCCACAGGCGAACACCAGAAAAUCAUCUCCCAGAAGGUUUCCAAUCUCACCUCCUUUGACGAUUGCCCCCCCACAACAUCAAACCUUAUAGUUCCCUAGCUCUGCAGUCCCUGCUUCUAUCUUCCCAAAAUCCACAAACCGGACUGCCUUGGUAUCCCCAUUGCCUCUGCCCCACAGAACCUAUCCCCCUCUUGUCCAUCUCUCCUGACCUAUCUGAGACACCUCAAACACCCUUCAACUCUUCAAUGACUUUCAAGUUUCAGGAGCUCAGGUCUCAUCUUUACCAUGGACAACCACUGACUUUACACCUCCAUCCCCACCAGGAAUGUGACACGGUCCUCCAGUUUGUCCUUGAAUGGAGACCCAAAUCAAUAUCCACCUGGCGGAAUUUGUCCUCACCCUCAACGACUUUUCUUGACUUCUCUCACUUUCUUCAAUUUAAAGGUCUAGCCAUGGGCACUCGCAUGAGCCCCAGCUAUGCCUGCCUUUUUUGUUGGUUAUAUCAAGCAAUCCUUGUUUCCAAUUAGGCACCAUCCCCCAACUCAUUCUCUGCUACGUCAAUAACUACAUCAGGGCUGCUUCCUGUACCUGCAUUAACUUGUUGAUUGCAUUAAGUUUACCACUAACAUCUACCCUGCCCUCAUUCAUUUGGACCAUAUCUGACACCUCUCUCCUUUCGUGAUCUCUUUAUCUCCCUCAUAGCAGACUAUUGAAUGACGUCUACUACUGUAUAAACCCACUGACUCCCAGGAUUAUCUGAUCUACACGUCUUCUAACCCUGCCUACUCCCAAUUUCCCUAUCCGCCACAUCUGCUCCCAAGAUGAGAUUUUCCAUUCUAGGUCAUCAGAGAUGUACUCUUUCUUUAAUAAAUGUGGU